rnacentral:rRNA from 1 species
GGGGAAUAUUGGACAAUGGGGGGAACCCUGAUCCAGCCAUGCCGCGUGUGUGAAGAAGGUCUUAUCGUUGUAAAGCACUUUAAGCGAGGAGGAUGCUCUUUUGGUUAAUACCCAAGAUGAGUGGACGUAACUCGAGGAAUAAGCACAGGCUAACACUGUGCCAGCAGCCGCGGUAAUACAGAGGGUGCGAGCGUUAAUCGGAUUUACUGGGCGUAAAGCGUGCGUAGGCGGCUUUUUAAGUCGGAUGUGAAAUCCCCGAGCUUAACUUGGGAAUCGCAUUCGAUACUGGGAGGCUAGAGUAUGGGAGAGGAUGGUAGAAUUCCAGGUGUAGCGGUGAAAUGCGUAGAGAUCUGGAGGAAUACCGAUGGCGAAGGCAUCCAUCUGGCCUAAUACUGACGCUGAGGUACGAAAGCAUGGGGAGCAAACA